GAUGAAGAACGUAGUGAAAUGCGAUACGUAAUGUGAAUUGCAAAUUCAGUGAAUCAUCGAGUCUUUGAACGCACAUUGCGCCCCCUGGUAUUCCGGGGGGCAUGCCUGUCCGAGCGUCAUUGCUGCCCUCAAGCACGGCUUGUGUGUUGGGCCCCGUCCUCCGAUCCCGGGGGACGGGCCCAAAAGGCAGCGGCGGCACCGCGUCCGGUCCUCGAGCGUAUGGGGCUUUGUCACCCGCUCUGUAGGCCCGGCCGGCGCUUGCCGAUCAACCCAAAUUUUUUAUCCAGGUUGACCUCGGAUCAGGUAGGGAUACCCGCUGAACUUAAGCAUAUCAAUAAGCGGAGGA
rnacentral:misc_RNA from 1 species